rnacentral:rRNA from 1 species
GAUGGACCCGCGGUGCAUUAGCUAGUUGGUGAGGUAACGGCUCACCAAGGCCACGAUGCAUAGCCGACCUGAGAGGGUGAUCGGCCACAUUGGGACUGAGACACGGCCCAAACUCCUACGGGAGGCAGCAGUAGGGAAUCUUCGGCAAUGGACGAAAGUCUGACCGAGCAACGCCGCGUGAGUGAAGAAGGUUUUCGGAUCGUAAAACUCUGUUGUUAGAGAAGAACAAGGAUGAGAGUAACUGUUCAUCCCUUGACGGUAUCUAACCAGAAAGCCACGGCUAACUACGUGCCAGCAGCCGCGGUAAUACGUAGGUGGCAAGCGUUGUCCGGAUUUAUUGGGCGUAAAGCGAGCGCAGGCGGUUUCUUAAGUCUGAUGUGAAAGCCCCCGGCUCAACCGGGGAGGGUCAUUGGAAACUGGGAGACUUGAGUGCAGAAGAGGAGAGUGGAAUUCCAUGUGUAGCGGUGAAAUGCGUAGAUAUAUGGAGGAACACCAGUGGCGAAGGCGGCUCUCUGGUCUGUAACUGACGCUGAGGCUCGAAAGCGUGGGGAGCAAACAGGAUUAGAUACCCUGGUAGUCCACGCCGUAAACGAUGAGUGCUAAGUGUUGGAGGGUUUCCGCCCUUC